rnacentral:rRNA from 1 species
UUUUCGGAGGUACUCGAGUGGCGAACGGGUGAGUAACACGUGGGUGAUCUGCCCUGCACUCUGGGAUAAGCCUGGGAAACUGGGUCUAAUACCGGAUAGGACCGCACCUUAGUGUGUGUGGUGGAAAGUUUUUUCGGUGUAGGAUGAGCCCGCGGCCUAUCAGCUUGUUGGUGGGGUAAUGGCCUACCAAGGCGGCGACGGGUAGCCGGACUGAGAGGUUGGUCGGCCACAUUGGGACUGAGAUACGGCCCAG